CAUUGACGUGAUGAUAUGUUUUUCGGAAUUUAUAGUGUCGACUUAAAAUAACAGACUACAAUUAUCUGAUCAAUG
rfam:Prunus persica cultivar Lovell chromosome G8, whole genome shotgun sequence.